CCCUGAGCUCACCGAGCCCCUUGCCUUGGUUCUUGUAGGGCGGAGUCCCUCCUGCGAAACCCAAGUGCCCUCCACGGGAUGGUGCUAACAAGGAGCAAUGAUGAUGAUGAUGAUGAUGAUGAUGAUGAUGACGACGACGAUGGGGCUCUAGCCUUCUCCUACCCCUUUCGGGAGCGACUCAACGUUUCAAAAUGACGUAGUUCUCAGCGCUUCUUACGGGCACCGCUGCUCCUGUCAAGUCACAUUAUACGGUCUACGGGCAACACGGCAACAUUAACACACGCGUUGAAACUCGGGUCUUUCUGGACUAGCUUAGCGCCGCGAGAAGGAGAAAAAGACUUGGAGAACUGCUCGUGUAAAGACCCCAUCUUAAUCACGGCUCUGAGUCCCUAGUGUUAAUUUUGUGUGCUCGUUCAUUUACGUGCCACGCUACGCAAAUUCAAAAUUUGCUCAAUGCAAUUACGCAAGUGCCACUUAAACACCGUCUCCUUAUUUCCAAGCCCAUGAAAAUGUUUCAGCUUCAGAAUCUGGUAGAGGAGCGGCCCACAUGGCAGAGCCACUGAGUCACCAGGACACGAGGUCACAUCACAACCUCAGCUCGACUCCUGCACUGCCAGAGUCGCCCACGUGCUAGGAGCCGGGACGAGCAGGGAUCGCACGCAGGCCUUGACCCGGGCCUCGACCUAAGGCCUGUGAGUACGCUCCUCGGUACAAGCAAUGUCCUGCUAGGGGCAGUGACAGCACGGGCGACAGGCCACGGCACCUGGACGCACGCGGGACGCACGAGCCCCCCUCACGGUCCUCAGUCUACAGUCCGAGUCACAAUUUUGUGAGCUCGGGUCCUGCACGUCCCUGUUGCAGCUACAGUGAGAGAGUGAAGGUUGGCGGAGCAACCCUCUGUGGCAGCAGCGGACCAGACGGGGACGGCGGCGGGAGCGGAGCUCAGAACUCUCAAAAUGCACAAUUAAUUAAUAUUACUAAUUCCCACUUUGUGAACUACAUCCUCGGCCUGAUGUUAUAAACCGGAGACCUCUGAGGACUAAUAUACAUCUACAUUUUUGUGUAUAUAACUGAGAACUAUACUCACACUUUGUACACCACAUCAAGAAGUAAUGAUGCCACAGGGAUGAACAACAGGCCCAUCCAGAAGACGCCGGAACUGAACAGCAUGGCAGCCUGAGGAAACCAUCAGAAACGACAUUACCUGAGCAACCAAGACGCACGCCAUUCAUGUUUAGUUUUCAUACGAUUUUAGGUAAAAUGAUUUUUAAAAAUCUCACUCUGCGAGAGGAUAAACAAGGACUUUAAAUCCAAACUUGGGCACGAUGUGGAAUUAAAAGCCAAAUGUGUUAAGACAUGUAUUUACUACAUCCAUUUGUUUCCCCCUUAAGCAGCUAAUAGAGCAAGGUUUUAUCAUGUGCCAAAUAUUUUCAUACUUUUUUACGUGAGGUUUUUAUUACUGCGGUCAAUAUGCGGAGUAAUAAACUUUGACCUUUUUUUAUAACAUA